GGCAAAAAUGUCUUACCCUGGAAUUUCAAAUCAAUUUCACGAGCACAUUGACGACCUUCUUGAAUACCCCAUACGACCAAACUUUGACCACGGCGGCAAUCACCAGCAGCGUAAAUGCCAGGAACACUAGUUUCAUACGAUUUAGUAGGAGUGCUGAUGUUAGAACGAGCAUCUCUAUCAACGUUCAUUCCAGCAGUAGCUUGCUCCUCAGGACCUAAGAAACCUAAAGCAAGGAUGACUAAAUCUGCAGGGAAAAACUCCUCAGAGUUACGAAUCUCCUUCAUGAUCCAGCGACCCUUACUGUUCUUAGUCCACUCAAUACGAACAGUAUUAAUACCCUUAACAUUGCCAUCUUCAUCCUUUUCAAAACUCUUAGUUAAAAUAGAGUAUUCACGGAAAUCUUGACCAUAAUGAGCUUGUACUUCAGCAUGUCCAUAAUCAACGCGGAAGACACGAGGGUAUUGAGGCCAAGGGUUGUCGAAGGCACGUUCACGAGGAGGAAUGGGAAGUAACUCCAAAUUUCUAACACUUUUAGCACCAUGACGAACACUGGUACCCAAACAAUCAUUACCAGUAUCACCUCCUCCAAUAACAAUUACAUCCUUGCCCUUAGCACUAAUAUAAUUGCCAUCUUUGAGUUCACUAUCAAGAAGACUCUUAGUAUUUUUGUGAAGGAACUCCAUGGCAAAGUGAAUACCCUUAGAAUCACGGUUGGGAAUGGGCAAAUCACGAGGAACCGUAGAGCCAGAGGCGAGAACAACAGCAUCGUAAACCUUGUGAAGUUCAUCAAGGCUAACAUCACCGUUCUUACCGACUUCAACGUUUGUAAGUACUUCAAUACCUUCGUCAAUCAUGAGCUGGAUACGACGCUCAACAACCUUCUUGUCUAGUUUCAUAUUAGGAAUACCAUAUUGAAGAAGACCACCUGGACGAUCGGCACGCUCAUAAAUUACUACAUGGUGACCAGCGCGGUUGAGUUGGUCAGCGGCAGCAAGACCUGCAGGCCCAGAACCGAUAAUGGCAACACGACGACCAGUACGUUCAGCAGGAGGUCUGGGGACAAUCCAGCCUUCCUCCCAAGCCUUGUCAAUAAUAGCACGCUCAACACUCUUGAUUCCAACAGGCGAUUCAAUAAUACCUAAGGUACAAGCGCCUUCACAAGGAGCAGGGCAGACACGGCCUGUAAAUUCUGGAAAAUUAUUGGUCAACAAAAGCUGGGUUAAGGCCUCUUUCCACUGUUGUUUGAAAACCAAAUCAUUCCAAGUGAAAAUUUUGUUGGAAAUAGGACAACCAUAAUCAGAUUGACAGAAAGGAGUACCACAGUCCAUACAUCUGGCAGUUUGAACACGUAAUUCAUCUUCACGAAGACGAACGGAAAGUUCUUUCCAAUCAUUCGUUCUCUUAAGAGGGUUACGAUAAUGUUCACUGCGGCGUUGGUAUUUCAUAAAUCCACGAAGCUUGUCCAAAGGAGCGCUCUUUUUCACAGUAGCACCUAAGGUAUCUUCCACAUCAGCAAUCUGAGCAUUAGUUUCCUCAAUUUGUUGACGAAUAGGAUUUCCUGGCAUGAAAGCUUUGGGAUACUGUAGUCUCUUGGCUUCUUCCUUCUUAGCAGCUUCACGUUCCAAUACAGCCUUGUACUCUCUUGGAAGAACCUUAACAAAGCGGCUAAGGUGACGAGGGAAAUCACUUAAUAUACGGUCAGCCACCUGUGAGCCCGUGUAAUGCCUAUGGUCUUGAAUAAGUCCUCUGAGGAAAGCAAUUUCAGCAGCAUCAGUGACAGAAGAAAUAUCGACCAUUUCUGUGUUAAUUUUACCAGCAAAGUCCAUUUGCAUAUCGUAGACAUAUGCAAUACCACCAGACAUACCAGCAGCGAAGUUUCUGCCAGUUGAACCAAGAAUUACAACACGACCACCAGUCAUGUACUCACAACCGUGGUCACCAACGCCUUCAACUACAGCAAUUGCACCAGAGUUACGAACAGCGAAACGCUCUGCUGCCACACCAGAAAUAAAAGCAUGACCAGAAGUGGCACCAUACAGACAGACAUUACCAAUGAUCAUAUUUUCUUCGGGCUUAAAGGGAGAAACCCUAGGAGGAUAAAUAAUCAAGCGACCGCCAGAUAAGCCUUUGCCGACAUAAUCGUUACAGUCACCUUCUAAUUGGAGUGUAACACCUGGAGCUAAGAAAGCACCAAAAGAUUGGCCAGCUGAACCAAAAACAUUGACACGAAUAGAAUCAGUAGGAAGACCCUCUUCACCAUAACGCUUACUGAU